rnacentral:misc_RNA from 1 species
AACGCACGAGACCUGCGGACCUGCGGAGGGAUCAUUACCGAGUCUUUGAACUCAAAACAACCCUUCUGUGGACCUGAAGAAAACCGUUGCCUCGGCGGGCGGCCCUACCUGUGGGCCGGACAGCUCGGCCGCCUUUUUUAAGGCGCGCCGGCGCCAGCCGCUGGCCCCAAACCAAAACUCUAGUAACUAUUACCUUCUGAGUUUUAAAGCAAGAAAUAAAGUCAAAACUUUUAACAACGG